CUGAGCCUCACCUUGAAAGCAUCAUUGAACWUGAUAUGUUUACAACAAGGAAGAAGGUUGGGCUGUCGCAAAGUCCGAAUAAUCUCCAAUUUCAAGGCAUAUGAUGGCAUGAAGUUUUAGUCAAGUAAAGGCUAGAAACAUAAACAGAAUGAACCUUUUCUUCUUCUGUCAAUUUUGACCACUCUUUGAAAGCAAGGAAAAACAACUUGAAGCUGGUCCAUCAACAUCUCGGCUGGCCAUGAGAUGUUAAUGCCUAUGUGCGCUUGAUGGCCUCCAAGGUUCUUACCAGCACUUGCUGCACAGCGGCACUAUUUCUAUAGGCACGUUAGACAUAGUAUGGGACAAUGCACGGUUAAAGUUGAUGAAGAAUAGUUUUAUCGCAGAACAUGGGAGAUUGCGGCUGCUGUUCGUUGGCAGGAAUGCAGGAAUCGCUGGGGCAUCCUGCACGUCAUCGCGCUCUUGCUCGGGUGCAGCCAGCUGCACAUUCGUCUCUUCAGUCAAUGAAGCCUAAUAAUGCAAAAUACAUCAAAGUUACCAUCUUCUCGUUGGUGUUUUAUGAAUCCUGCCAUUUUGGCUAGAAUGAAAUUGCUGAAGCAAAAAAUAAACUUUUUAGCUAAUAUUCUAAAAAUGCUUAGGUAAGCUUAUAUGGAAAAAGAAACGAAAAAUGGUGCUUAAUGGUGCUUGACUCCAAGCAAUCAGAAUCCUAAACACAAAGACAUUAAAAAAACGUAAAAUAUUGUGUACCUGUUUGUUACAGGUGCUUUCGGUAUUUUAGACAUUAAUGAGUGUUAUUCAUAUGAAUAUCCAGCUCAACAUCAGUGAUCUGUUGGGGAUGGAACUGCCCCUCUUUUUUGGGAUUUUCAUAAAGGGACUCUGUGGCACCUGACAGAUCAUAGCCUAAAAUGUACAUCAAAUCUUGUCGAUUUUGAAAAUCGAAAUAAAUAUAUAUCAAAGAAGAAUUUCACUCUGAUACCAUUGACUUUAAUACUUUUGCUUUGCCUAAAUCUAUUAUAAA